rnacentral:rRNA from 1 species
GACGAACCGUGCGAACGUUAUUCGGAAUCACUGGGCUUAAAGCGCGUGUAGGCGGGGCGGCACGUCGGUCGCUGAAAUCCCCCGGCUCAACCGGGGAACGGGCGCCGAUACGACCGCCCUGGAGGGACGUAGGGGGACCUGGAACUUCCGGUGGAGCGGUGAAAUGCGUUGAGAUCGGAAGGAACGCCCGUGGCGAAAGCGAGGUCCUGGACGUUUUCUGACGCUGAGACGCGAAAGCCAGGGGAGCGAACGGG